UUGUAGUCAUUCGCUCGUCUCAAAGAUUAAGCCAUGCAUGUGUAAGUGUAAAUAGUUAAGUUUGGAACUGCGAAUGGCUCAUUAUAUCAGUUAUAGUUUAUUUGGUGAAGUGUACUACUUGGAUAACCGUAGUAAUUCUAGGGCUAAUACAUGAGAAAGUCCUCUGGUGAGGUGUGUUUAUUAGAAUGAAAACCAUAUGCUUCGGCAUGAUAGUGAGUAAUAGUAACCUAUCGUAUCGCAUGCUUAAUGUAGCGAUGAGUCUUUCAAGUUUCUGCCCUAUCAGCUUUCGAUGGUAGUAUAUGGGCCUACCAUGGCAGUAACGGGUAACGAAGAA
rnacentral:rRNA from 1 species